UUUUUUUUUCCUUUUUAUCGGCAGAGUUGUUAUGGAAGGAGCCUCUGUUUUUUAAGAAGCGAAUGGAAAGUUUUUUUAUUUCACAAUGUUGAACGUGUCAAUGCUAUUUUUUUGGACGGAAGCAUUUGUGUUAAGCAAGUUCUCUAUUAUUGGAAAUAAAUUUUGCAAUUCAGUGGCGUAAUUAAUUUUGACGAUAUGAAUUAACGAGAAGCCUUGAAACGUGCGACCAUGUAGAGGAUCCGAGUUGUUUUUCCUUUUUUUUGAGAGAGAGAGAGAGAUCUUUUACCUUUUUUAAUUGCCAGAAGAUUUUAUUCCUAGAGUUUCACUGGUCAUCAACCGGAUUUUUUUUCCUUUUUAUUCGGUGGAGUUGUUAUGAAAGAAGGCUAUUUUUGUUAGGAACGGAUGGAUGUUUUUUCUCUUGCUUUGUUUCACAACAUUGGACGUGUUAGGUGCAAUUUUUAUGAGGUAAAUACACCAGUGGUGCUUGAACUUGCCAGCGAUGUUCAGUUUGGUGCCUGAAGUUGAAAAAUACGCCGAAGUGGUUCUAAAACUUGGCACGAACGUGCAGAUACGAUGCUAAUCCCAUUCUUAUACGUAAAGUGCUCCAACAUGGCAGUGUAUAUACCUGACUUGGCAUCGAGCCUUCUUAUAAAUACGGAACAAAAUUAUUUUAUAUAUGAUAUGUCCCUAUGACUAGUGGACCAAGGAAAUUAAAGUAAAAAAUGCAGACAGACAGAAAUCGAACCUGUGCCCAAUAGCAAACAGCAAGCGUGUCCUACCACUACCCCAACUUCAUCCUUACAAGUAUACUGGCCUCUGAAAUAUCAUGUAGUGUAAAUGAAAACGGAUAUGCUACUAAAAUGGGCUGCACUGAGUGCGGCCCAUUUAGCACACGUUAUUUCUUUGUUUUUACAGAAAAAGUAUGUAAAUAAUAAUCAUAAUACUAAAAGUUAGAUUCAAAUAUUCGUGCAUAAUCAAUAAUUACCUUGUUGUAAAAAAUAUUCGUCUGCACAUAUUAUUUUUAAAAUCCAUAAACAAGGCCACAACUAUCGGUUACAAAUAUUUGUGGUACAUAAAUAAUAACCUCAUGGUACACAAAUAUUCAUGUGCACAAAAAGUAAAUAUAUAAAUUUAUGCAAUAAAAUAUCUUACUAAAAGAUGUUCCUAUAAUUUAUUGAAAUAUUCACCUUAAACACAAUCCAUAACUGUUGAAAAAUGUUUACUUAAUACAAACAUUUCAAAUAUACAGUCAUGGAUUAUGUUUUAAAAACUUAGUAAAUACACUGUCAUGGCUUAUAUUUAAAUAAUACUUGAACAUUUUUUACAUGAUUUUUUUAAAUUUAGAUUUUUUCCGUUUUACGUAACGUAUUUAUAACAUGAUUAGUUGAACUUUAUUUGUAUUACUAUCAUUAUAAUAUACAGACGGUUUAAGCAGAUUAAGGAAAAAAAAUAACAUGUGCUAAAUGGACCGUUAAGUACCACAACCUUUUCUACAUUAAAGUUCAGGAGCCGCAAUUGCUAACAGUUGCAAGUAAGCGCGGUGGCAUGCCACAGUCAUUUUUAGUUUUAGGUUGCAGGUUCGAAUCCUGUUGUCCUAUAUUUUACAUUUUAAUUUCCCUACAGACCUCUAUUUCACAGUUUAAUUUCCCUACAGGCGGGACCCAAUAAUCAUAGAGACAAAUACAGUGGCACGCCAGCGCACUUAACGUAUACAAAUGAUAUUAGCACUGUAUUUGCAUGUUUGUGUCAAGUUUUAGAACCAGUUCAACGUAUUUUUCAAGUUUAGUCACUAAACUGAACAUCCAUGACAAGUUCGAGCACUACGGGUGUAUUUACCUCAAUUUUUAUUGUGAUGGGACCAUCUGGUACGCAAGUUUACCUUUUAUCUUAGACGUAUAUUUUACAAUCCAACGGUCUAAUCAAUUUUGAUGAUGUGGAUUAAUAAGAAGGCUUAAAAGGUGCCUCCAAUUAGUAAAUAAGAGAUAAGAGAUGGUUGGCCCAUUAUGCCGACUCUGUUAGUGUUGCUCUAAGAGCAUGUGUAUACGUUGGCCCAAAUUGCUCAAAGUCCAGCAUUCCCAUGGAGUGCGCUCUUUGUUCGGAUUCACCAAUGUCACAUCGGGGACGUUCACGGCAGGGUGGGUGCGUCAGCCAUGGAAGUUUUCUAGUGUGGGCACGGGAUUUGGGAGAGAAAAUGGACUGGAGAUUGAUGUGCCACUACGCGGGCCUUCACGACAUGUCCACGCGGAUGCAGAUCCAGUCCAAAUUUGAACUAGAAAUAUGUCACGGUAGACAGCAAAACAGACAUCAGUCCAUUUACAUAGCCGCGCCGAGCUGUGGUGUUUGUCUGCGUGGAUAGAAGCAAACACGGCUGAACGAAAUGCAUAGGCCCGUUGGACCCAUCCUAGAGAAUGGUGACCGCGGUAGGGUUACACCGUUACACCUUUGAGUCACCCCAUUUCAGACAACCUGAGGCGAUCAUUCAUAUUUUAUGUCAUUUUCUGGAGAAGGCGACCAUUCAUAGUACACGAGCAUCGACCAAAUGCUUUUCUUAUUCCAGCAGAAUAUUCAAAGUACACGAGCUAUAGAUUACCUGUAACCCGACUGAGCGGCACAUCAUCACAGAUUUAUUAUAUACUUAUAUAGUAUAAGCCGUAGUGAUUGGGAAUACUGGGAUACAUGCGCAACAUCGAUGUAUAUUGGAGUUGCACUAAACGCCGGGGCGUUUUAAGCUAGCCGACGAUGGGGGUCUUGACGACAAUGCCAGCUGCAUUGGAGAUGAGGAUGACACGCCUAGGGUCAGGGCGCCCUGGCUGCCUGUUGGGUUCCCUUUCCAUGAUUAACGCCACCUCGACAUCUGGCCUGUCCCGGUUGAUCAGGUGUGCCGCGGUGGCCACCGGCAGCCCCACCGCCUCUGGCCAUGACGACCUCGAUCCCCUUCCUAAUCCUGCGAGCUCCGCUCUUCCCAUAGUUUCAAGGAGGAUGUGCUCAACUUGUGGUCUGCGUUUGUAGGAUGUGAAGCAACGAUGAGAUCAGGCGGUACUUGUAGGAGCAUUUGUGACUGAGCGUGAGGUGGACACGAUGAGCAUUUGUGAGUGUGAGAUGCUUCCUUUUCAUUUUUUGGAACUCUGUGAGUGUGACAGGCUGACGCUUGAUAAUGAGAUGGUGCAUCGGGUACGCCGGUUUCGCUUGGUAGAGCUGAAUAUGCAACCGUCUGUUUCACGGGUGCAUCGUCCACACCGUUGCCAAGUGCAGGAAUCAACGUUGCAAAGUGUCUGAUUGUUCCGGGCAUAAAACAAAGUUUGAGUUUAUUAAUCGCUAGUGUGAACUAGCUAAGUAGCAUUGUCUUUUAGGGAAGACCAUCAUGACAUUAGAAGGAUCAAUUGGUGCAGACGUUAUGAGAGUUUGUGUCAUAAGCAUAUAUCAAGCUAAAUUAUGGCAACUUUGAUGGCCCUUCCCAAAGCUUUUGCGCUAUCCGAGAGCAGCUCGCCAGAAUGGUUGUGUAGGGUUCCAGGCGUUGAUAUUCUCUUGACUUAAGGCAAACUGACUUAGAAGCAGCCAGUGGUGGAAAUAGAAACAAUUGUUAGGUGUUCUGAAGCUUACCUAGUAUAUGCGGCUCAGUUCCAAUUUUAAAAAUUGUAUACUAAGGAGUAUUGUUUUUUGCGGGCUAUAUGUACUAAGUAUGUACAUCAAACUUUAGGCCCUCUAACAGGCAACCUUGUUAGAUUGCUGGCUAUAUCGUUCGCAAUAGCUGACAUGUGGGCCCUCUAACAGGUCAGCCCACAAGUUUGAACUCAAGCCGGUAAUGGUUAAAGGUUACCCGCAUCCUCGUGGGUAAUUACUCUAUCAGGGGACGGGGAUGUGCUAGCGUUAAUAGCCACGGGGAAGCUGGUGGGUCAAAUACCUUACCCAGUGUGUAACAUGGGGAUGGGGAUGUGAUAGCAUUACCUGUGCCCGUUACCCUCCUUACCUAUGAAGGCCUUACAUGUGGGGAUUAAAAUAAGUAGACCCCAUAUAAUUCCCACCCUUACCCACCCAAAUUUCCACCCAUCCCAAACCUUUGGCCAAAAAUACAUAAGAAAACCCUAACCUAGCCACAACAUAUUAUUUAUUGUGCUAAAAUUCUAUUUUUCUCUACAUAAAUGUUACUAAAGGUUGUUGUUGAUUGCGUGUAUGGGUUUCCCCACGGGGAUAAAAAACCGACGGGGAUGGGGAUGAGAAUAUUUUUAUCCCCACGGACGGGUAUGGGUACGAGGACGGGCAUGGGAAGGUUGUUGCGGGGCCGGGGAUGGGGGUCCAAUACCCGCCUGGGUAAUCCUUAUUGCCAGCCCCGGAGUCUGAACCAAAGUAAGAGGACUUGCUUUCAGAGUCUAGGCUCGUUACUACAUCAAGUCUUCAAAAAUUUCUGUUUACGACACUGACGUGAUAUCUAAAUAAAUAAAUUGACCAUAAUAUCUAGAAAGGCAAAAUACUGUAAUAAAAUUAUUGCUACAGAAUCAUUUUUUCGAGAAAAUUUCCAAUCUAUUCAUCUUCAAUCAUGGUAGUACAAUGGACACUAGAAAUAACAAAAACUACAUCCAGAUCCAAACAACACCUAGUGAUGACUACAAGCACUGAAGCGAGUCGAAGGCCCGCCGCUUCCAUCACCCCUCCCUCGUCGGAGCCAGGCAAAACUUGUUAUAGUAGACAGCCGGCCCAUAGGACCAACGCACUAAAAUAGCAACCGUUGCCGAUGAAGAGUAGCAUAGAUCAGAAGGAUUAACCCUGAAAACUCACGGAAUUAGACGAACAACCACAAGAUCUGAGAAAAUGCACCAAUGACAGAUCUGCAAGAGAAUCAGUUAUUUACGAGAAUUAUAUUAACAUUAUUUUAGUGGUUAAAUUUUAAACUGCAAUACAAUUUCGUGUAGAGUAAUGAGUAUUUGAGACCUGAGUAUAUUGUAUAACUUGUUGCAUGCAACCACUACAAAUUUACCGAUUAAGAUCAACUUUUGAGCUUGUUACAACCGAGUAGAGUGAUUAGUGACAGGCCACUCUUCAUCGCACGAGCUUCUGCAGUAUCAAGAUUUAGGUCAUGGUUGGCAUUUUAGGUAUGUUCGCUAGUGCUGUAAUUUUACCAUUUUAUUUUCUGCGUGUGGUUCGGUGGUGGAGUGGUGAAUGCAAAACUCCGCCCAAUAGGUUUAAAUCAAGUUUCUUUGCAUUUUUUUAAUUUUGGGGACACCCUUGCACAGUUAUUCUAUAAAUAGAAAGCAAAAACAUGAAUUUCACCAUGUUUUGAGCCCUGGCUGAUAUCCAUUCCUAAAUACUAAUUUGACAGUCUUUACCAUUUAAAUCGCCCACCCCACACGUCACGCGUGUUGCUCAAUUUACUGUUGGCAUUCUCGACCCACCAGCCGCCGCAUGGCUGCACCCUUCACGCCAUCCUAGUGGCUACCGCUUUAUCACUACUGAGCGUGACCUCUAAUACUUCCAUGCCACUCUGGAAUGCCAGUUGUGAGUCCCGUCCAUCAUGCACCUCCUGAUAGGCAUGGCAUAACCCCCUUACACCACAACAUGCGCUCUCUUAUACCCUUUUUUUGUCGGGUAUCUCUUAUACCCUUUCGUGGCAGGUGUGGUGGCUCCGGGAGGAAUUACUCCAGACACAGCGGUAAGACACCUCUGAUGUGUUUUGUGCCUUAGUUUACAUAUCAUAGUCAUGCUUAUAUGAUAAUUGACGAAAUUGGUCCGGCGCACGUGCAUACAUAGCAUCUACAUGUAGAAGGAGUGUACAUGUAAUACCAUGAGGGUUAUCGAUUUUACUAUAUAUAUCUGUGUGUGUUUGCUUGUGACACCUUCGAUGAAAUUUGAAAAGUUGUCUCACAUCAUAUCAUAUUAAGGAUAAAUAAUUCAAUUAUAUAAAAUAUCUUUUUGAGGGUUGAGAGAGAUUGAUAACAAGAUCGGCGAGAGAAAGCAAAGAUGAACCUAAAGGGAAAUUACUACGCCAGCCAUAUUGCCUAAUUCGAAUAUGUUAUAUAUCUUGUUGUCUAUUGAGCGCCCAUCUUCACAGAAUGAUGGCUGACAUCGACUAACAAUCUUUGGCCUUCCCGAUCCUACUAAAACUUAAAUUUUGAUGUGCCCGACCGUUGCAUUAAUAACGCCACUGCAACAUUUAUUUUCUUGCAGUCAGUAAAGAAAGUGCAAAAAUAGUCCUACAUUUCAAAAAUUGCAAAUAAACAAUUAUGUGCAACAACCCCCUUCCACUCGCAUAAAAUCAAGCUCACAUACACCAUAUGAACUAACCUCUUAACUAAUCACCAUACACCAAACCAUAAUUAACAUCAGUGCGUUUUCUAUGGGACGAUUGGAGCAUGUCGUGUCAUCCUGGUUGUGGACCACAUGACCUCUUUUGUUUUGAAUUUAGUCUUUGAAGUCUCAUAUUGAUGGUGUAUACUUUCGACGAGGGAACAAUGGAUAUAUAGAUUAAUAUAUAUUUGUGCUUUAUUACAUUAAUCAAUACGGAUGAUCACACAUUAUUUAAAGCGCUACCAACACCAAGCACACAGCACCUAGCACAUUCAUAGUGGGCACAAGUGCAACACAACUACGUUGUGCAUGGAGCUAGUAAGCGGCCCUGCCCGCUGAGCGAGGUUGAGCUAGCCGACGACAGGGGUCUUCACAAGGACGCCAGCUUCAUUGGAGAGGAUGACGACGCGCGAGGGGUUGUGGCCCGGUGGCCAUUGGCCGCCUGUACCGCCGGCAAUAAACGAGAUAUCGGGCCUAUCACCUUUGAUCCGUACAACCGCGUUCUGCACUGGCCACCCCACCACCUCCGGCCAGGAGGUCUUCCAGAUUCCGUCACGACCCUCACCAGCACCUGCUGGCUCGAGUCCUCCCAUCAUAACGCCCAGCCGAUGAGUCUGUUUAACAAUUGCUGGUAACUAAUACCUAGUUGUACUUGUAGGUGCUGCGUGGUAUUUAGGUCGUGUUGGUAUAGUAUUUAUAGGUGAUCAAGGCCCUGUCGUAAUUAAGGUAAGCAUGACAACAAGCAUGACCAACGCAUAAUGACAACAAGUGAAAAUAUACUAGUCAUGCAUUGCACAUGUUUGUCGGUGUCCUACAAUACCAUAGGCAUGCAUCGCGUGCACCGUCCUCCAGUGCGGAAAGCAACAUUGUUAAGUCAAGUGUCGACAUGCCAAUCUUCAAUAUUGCAACAUAUCCCAAUUUUGUGCGGACUGCCUCACUGUAUCCAUUCCCACUGAACAUGCAACAUCCUUACAAUGCCACGACUAUCCAGUGAGAAUCAAGACAAUAACAAAGAAGGGGCAACAAUGAGGAAAAAAUAUGUAAAAAUAAUUGUCCUCAUGCCAUUAUAGAACUCAAAUGCUUUGCCCCUACUAAGGCCGAUGAGACUGCCUUAGACUUGAUCUUCUAGAAGACAGAAUUGGGCAUGGUGGAAAGGUAACGGAAGUUACAUGUUUUUCACUCAUUCCAAACAUCCCACACGAUCAAAAUAGUGAGUGAGGCCAUCGCUUUCCAUGGCAUGCUAUUGCUACAGGUUAGGCAGGUCCACCAAGCUUCGAUGGACAGAUCAGAUGCCAAACGUGGUAGCCAGAUCCGAGAGGUCGAACAAGGACUGUGCCAAAUUAUAAACAGCAAUAGUGGAGCGGCACCAAAAGAGAAGGUGGCAUGCUGAGUCCUGUUCUGCUCACAUUUCUCAAGCGCCGAUACUUCAAGACUGUCAUGCACAGCUAAAGCUUGCACAGCUUGGGUACAAUUAAUAACCUGGACAAUGUUUAAACACGAGAAAAUUCACGGUGUACAAUUGCACAGCCGGAAUGUAACUAUUAAUUUACUUGAAAAAUAGAAUUACUAAAAUAUCUCAGUGUUAGAUUAUGAUUCCACCCCUGGUUUCUAGUACUCGUUUCAUUCUGAGAGGGUACUCCGUGCAUCUACAUUGGAGUACAAUCAGCUGCAUGACCAACACUUCGUCUAAUUCGAGGUGGAGUACUGACAUGUGGCUCGCCAACUUUAGGGACACUAAAACUUGUUUGAGCUCGUCUCAUGGGUCGAAGAAGAGUAGAAGACGCAUGCGCACUGAGUGAAACCCUGGCAGAAUCGUUCUAGCACCCACAGAGAGCGCCUUCACUGUGACAUAGGGCCUCUCGCUUUGGAUUGUGUCACCACAGCCGACAUUGGCAUGGCCAAUAACCAGGGCCGUCUCCAGGAAUUCGGGGCCCCGGUGCGAAAUGCAAAAUGAGGCCCUAAAAUUUCUAGAAUAGACAAUUUCUUUAUAGAAAAAAUAUGAACGAAUUCCAACAUUGCAUAAAUGAUAGGCUUAUCAAGGUAAUAAUGAAAAAAAACAACCCUGAAGCAACCAUCUUGGAAAUCUUUGUGUGUGACAACUUGAUUACAGGCCCGGCCGGUAGAUUAAGGAGCAGGCCCGGCCGGUAGUGCCAAAGACUAGCUGAGGAAGCCCAGUUACGUGCUAGGUCUGAAGAAAGGGCCCAAAACGAAAAACAAUAUACUAUGGUAUUGGCCCAAAUCGGGGGCCCCUGAAAUUUGGGGGCCCUGUACGGGCGCACAGCCUGCACAGGCCCCUGGGCGGCCCUGCCAAUAACUCCGGUCAUGGUAUCUUCUCGGACCCCAUUAAGGCCAUGUGACUACUUCAAAAUAUGUCUCGGAUAAUCUAUAGAUGGCAAGCAAGUCUAAGUGGAUGCACAUGACAUAAGCCUCAAAAACUAAUAUAUGUUCGUAGGAAGAUCAACCAUAAAUCAUCUGGCCGUCAUAUGCCGCUAAUGUUAUACUAGUGAUGUAUGGACUCCUUUUGGUCUGUUCAAGAAAUGUGUCCAUUCAAAUUUUCGGGACACCCAUGCACCUAACACUUCCGUCCUGAUUUUUUUUGGAAAAUUUUUGUACAAAAACAGCCUCCAAUUGUUGCCUAAGUUCAAACCGAAAAUAUAUAAGGUUUUGCUAUGUCCGAAAUGGGAGCAACCUAAACCGAGAAAACGUGGUUGUGGGUGCGUAGUGAAUACACGUCAGCCAUGUACAUGCACAUGUGGUCGCGAGGCCGAUCCUACGGCUCAUAACAUGGCCGUGCUGUUGUGUUCCAGACUGAACGUUCGUGUGGAAUAUUAAGCGAAUAACAAAAAUAUUGCCUCAGUGACAAGACCAAUGCUAAGCUCUCAAGAGAGCCAUGAAACAAGUAGGCAUCAAAAAAACAUUAAUUGUAGGACUAGGUACGCUAUGACAAAAAGGUUUCUCCACUGGUUUCUUCCAUGACGGAGGGGGAGAUGCCGGCCGAUCAAAUCCAUCUAGAGGACAAUGACCCGGCGGACAGAUUAAAGCAGGUGCCACGGGAUAAUUUAUCGUAUAUGUACCGUGCUGCCGUGCACAAACGCCGCCAGGUUUAGAUUAGCUUUAUUCUUAAUAAAUUAGAUUUUCUCUUGGAUUAGCUUUGUAGAAGUGUACCGUGCUACAUACCAACAACCACACGCUAGCUGCUCACUCCUCUUCCUCUCCAAUCUCGUGUCGUGCUACUAGUGCCGCGGACCAGCCGUUGUCCAUCAAUCUGUCAGCUCGUUGGGCGGUGGUGAUGGCGAGGCACUUCACGCUCAACACCGGCGCUGAGAUCCCCUCGGUGGGGUACGGCACCUGGCAGUCCAAGCCGGAUGAGGUCGGCCGCUCCGUUUACGCUGCCGUCAUGGUUCGCUCGGCCUUGUGUGAUUUGGUUUCUUCAGCUAAUUACUUUCCUUUGUCUAAUCUCAGUUUCUCACCUUUGUCUAAUCGUGAGAAACAUAGAUAUGAGAUUGUUUUUGAAUUAUGCAGGCAGGGUAUCGACACAUCGAUUGUGCUAGGGCUUACCGCAACGAAAAGGAGGUAGGUGAACAUUUAUUUCUUUUUCGAUGAAGGGACUUUUUCAAUAAAAAUGCUUGCAUUCUUGUUGGCAAUAUUGUCUCCAUUCAAACUGAGUAUGAAUUGUUGGCUUAAGGAAAGCAUAACAUUCGCUUUCGGAUUAUCAGGUUGGUUUGGCACUGCAAAAGCUAUUCGAAGAGGGUGUGGUGAAACGGGAAGAUUUGUUUAUCACCUCUAAGCUAUGGUAAGCUCAGAGCACUGGGAUUGAUCUGUUCAAUUCACCUGCAUGUAUUUCUCAGCAGUUUAAGUUCACCGAGUAUUUGGUCGGUGAUUUUAGGCAUGAUCAUCAUGCUCCAGAAGAUGUGCCGGAGUCGCUUGACAGAAGUCUGCAUGACUUGCAGCUUGAGUACUUGGAUCUUUACCUUGUAAGCAUCUUCAAUUUUAUAAUCACGUUUCACUAUCCAGUUGCUCCAAUCUUGCCGUUGUGUUGUACUAUCUCACUUUGUGUACUCAAUAUGGUGAUUUCUACUAUACUUUUGCAUGCUCGUUUCAUUUUAUUUUUAGGGAGCUAUCUUUAUCAUUUCGAAUAAGGCAGCUCAGAAAACAAUGAGAAAAGCAUACUUUUCAUCCCUCAACUCUUCGCAGAGUCUAGAUUUAGUCCCUCAACUACAAAAGCAGACAAUUUGCACCUCCAACUCUUGAAACCGGUCAAGUUCCAUCCCUCGACUCAACCGAAGCAGUAUCCAUGCUGACUCGGCAUGGUUUUGAAUGGGGCAUGUCCACGUGGCAAAAUUUCUAUUUCUUUUCAUCAAUCUUUAGUGUAGACGUUUCGUCGAACAGUUGGCGUGCAAUGCCGCACUGCACAACACCCGAGCAUGCCCGUCAGCCGACGAGCCACUGCCGCCACCAUCGGUGGCCCUGCUAACUAGCAUGCACCGCCGGUUGCCCUGCUGGCCACUAAACACGCCGCUCCAAGCCGUCGUGUGACUCCGGGCCUCUGGCCGCAAGCACAACCACCUGCUGGCUGGCACACCUAGUUGUGCCAUAGCUCUCCAAUGGAGCAGGAUGGCAGAAACUGCAGCCAACAGUUGCAUCCUCACGAACUUGCACUCGAAGCAUGACAAGAUCAGGACGUAGCUCAUCGAGGCCGGCUUUGUGUGGCUGAUCUGCAUGUGCAAGUACUCGCAACAUGCCACCAGAGCUGCGCUCACACAACGCCAACAGAAUUUGAAGGGCCGGGAGCCUGAGCACGCAACCACGAAGCAUGUUGGGGUGAAGACGCACGGGGGAGUGAUGCGGAGCCGCCGGCGCGUGGGGUCCCAGUCGCUGAGUAACACGAAAUACGAUGGGAUGGACGAGUCGGGGCUGCGUUCGACGGCGAGGUACAUGCCGAGCGUGAGCUUGUGGCCGACCGUUGCGGGAGGUCGGCGGAGACGAACUCGGUGGGUUAUAGUAGGGGUGUUGGCCGCCGGAGAGCGCCCACCUCAACGCCCGCACACCAACGACGAGCGGCAGCGCCUCCACCUCCGCCUUCGUACCACGCUGCUGGAUCCAAGCAGUGGCCCCAUGCGCGAAGGUCGGCGACGACGGCGAGCACCACCACAACCAUGAGGUGCCCCAGCCCGUCCACGACGGUGACGUUCUCCAGCCCAGUGGGUAGGUUGAGCCGUCAAGACCACCAUGAACGCCAGCUUGCUCCUUAAUGUACGAGCGAGAGGAAAUGGGAGGCCAAUUUGCUGGUCUUAUUUGCCACGUCAGCCUAGACCGGUCAAAACCGGGGUCAACAGCACCAAAACCGGUCAAAAUUAAGAGAAGGGACGAAACAUGCCCGGUUUGAAGAUUUGAGGGUGCAAAUUGUCUGGUUUCGUAAUUAAGGGAUCAAAUCUAUACUAUGUCAAGAGUUGAGAGACGAAAAGUAUACUUUUCUCGAAAACAAUUGGCAUUGUGAUCUGGACUACACCAAACUCAAGAUUUCUGGAGGUUAUCGUCGACAAAUAAAUAUGUGUUUAAUGUGUGGAAACACGGUCCUCUAUUAGACUGCCUAUAAUGGGAGUAUCAUAAGCGGUAUCAUGUAUGCAAACUAGGCAUUUUUUAGGAUGUGGCGGACAAUUAAAUAAGGUAAUUGAGAAUUUGGUAUCAUAUCAUGAUACCGUAUCAUAUUAAAUUUUAUACCACAUUGUGUCAUGCAUGAGAAUAAAUGAAGCAAUCUAAGAUACUAACUUAUGAUUAUGCAUUAGUAAUAUUAUACACUAAUAUCAUAUGCAUCAUAGUAGUAGAUGAUACUCCACAUUGCGGGGAGCCUUAAGUGGCCAGUCCACUACUUAGUAAUUGCCUACUUAGUAAUUCUAUUGUUUAAUGUGUAGAAACACGAUCCCCUAUUAAGUGGCCAGUCCACCGCUUAGUAAUUGUGUUGUUUACAUGCACGCGGGCUUCUUUUCUGUGAUCUAGUCACAAAUCCACAUCCAACUAAAAUAAUGUCAAGCACCCACCACUUAACACCCAUGCAUUUCUGCAUAUGCUUUUUUUUAUGUUUUGGUAUGAGUUGGUAUAUUGUCUUGAGGUUGCAUCUUGAAUAUAUUAUAUAUUUGAAGAAUUUUACCAUUAUAUUUUAGUUGAAUUGUAUUUUCCUUCGAGGUGGAUUUAAGUGUUUACAUGUUGGAGCUAUAUAGCAAUGUUUUCAUGUAUAAUUCGAAAUUGAGUUUUUUAACGGUAUGAAAUUUUGUAGAUCCAUUGGCCAUUUAGGCUCAAGAAGGGCACCAACGCAAGCAACCCUGAAAACUUUGUACUACCUGACAUCCCUGCGACUUGGGGAGCAAUGGAAAAGUUAUAUGAUGCUGGAAAAGCUCGUGCAAUAGGUGUGAGUAACUUCUCAACAAAGAAAUUGGGUGACUUGCUUGUUGUAGCUCGUGUACGUCCUGCUGUUAAUCAGGUGGAAUGUCAUCCGGGUUGGCAGCAAAGUAAGCUCCACAACUUUUGUCAGUCAACCGGUAUUCAUCUUUCUGUAAGUUCGCGGUGCACUUGGAGGCAGCUGGCUUUCUUAUGUUUAAAAUAUACAUGUUCUUAUUAUACCUGACUAUGUAUGGGUAUUUGCAGGCAUACUCACCACUAGGUUCACCUGGUACACCUUGGAUGAACAGUAAUGUCCUCGAAGAACCUGUCAUCACCUUAAUAGCGAAUAAACUUGGGAAAACUCCUGCACAGGUGGCCCUGUGCUGGAACAUUCAGAUGGGUCAUAGUGUACUACCAAAGAGCCUGAAUGAGGAAAGGAUAAAGCAAAAUCUUGAUGUUUAUGAUUGGUCUAUUCCAGAUGACUUGCUUGCGAUGUUAACCGACAUUAAGCAGGUUUGUUGCUAUUCUUAAUACCCCCAUACUUAAAUGAGGACAAAAUUGCAAUGAUAUUUUCUAUAUGAUAGGCAUCUUUAUAAGAUGAGAUGGCAUGUUGGAAUAAUACUAUGUGAAAAUACAUAGCAUCUGACAACUGAAAAACAAAUCCAUGUGUAAACAUUCUGCAGAGUCUAUAUAUUCUUUGUUGCUGUAUCGUAAUUUGGUGUAAUCAAGUCUCUACAAAGGUCUUUUUUUACCUUGUUCGAGCAUGGUAAAAGAAAAUCCUCUUGACCCCUUGAGUUACCAAUUGUGUUGUUCAUUUUCAUUCUUUUAGAAAAAGCUCAAAUGAUUUCUUUUUCAUUUUUCUUGUUUUUUGUUUCAAAUCAAUGCAUCUUGUUAUGUUAUUAUUAAACUUUUCAUAGUGCAGUGUGAGUGCAUCUGAUUACCUUACUUUGUGGCCUUCAGGUAAGGCAGUUCAGAGGUGACUUCACCGUUAAUCCACAAAGCGUCUACAAGACCCACGAGGAGCUCUGGGAUGGGGAAGUUUAGGAUCAUGUUUAUCGUUAGCAACCUACGUACAUUAGAACCUUGCACUUCACAUAUACCUAUUGUGUGUUACUUUAGAUGUUGGUUAACUUUUAGUUCUGGAUCAAGAUCAUGUGUUGCUGAUACGUGGACGAUUUGUGCCUUUUAUCUGUUAUGUACCCACUUGUCAACUUGUAACUAGAUUGUCAAUCUGGGUAGCAAGUGCAAAACCAUGUGAACUCAUUCGGCCUCCACCAAGUGUUGAACGAUCCGGGUGUUGGCGCAACGGGUGCUGAUGAUGGGUUUACUAUCAUCGCAGGCCUCUCACACUUCCAUCAAGCCCACCAAUUGGAAGCCACACUCACUCAUAAGCACAACAUAGCCAACUCGAUGGGAAGCCUAUGUAUAUUGCCUUGGGUUCACCUAUUGAACAUUCACCGUGGUCGUGCGUCCACCUAUGUGUUUCAAGGCUACCUAUCUCGUUGACCCUUGACCUAAACCUUGCUGCUAUUCAUGUGUCAUCUGAUAGUACGGAGGUUAUUUCAUACAUCAAGAGACCUUCACCCUGUGUUUAUGCUUCUACCCUUUGGGAGAUUGAAUGUGGCCGACAUUGUUUCGCAUAGGUAGCUUUCGAAAAUGAAAAACCCUCGCAAAAAAGAAAACAUGUAAAGGGAUGCCACAAUGUAGCGGCGCAUUUGCUUGUUAAAGCUUUGUCUACACUAGCUCCUGGGUGUCAUGCUUGUUUUAAUUCGAUUCCGGAUAUUAUUUGAAUCCCUGUAAACAUUUCAAAUGAAUAUAGCCUUUCACCCCUAGAAAAAUCCAACUUGGGUUCCACAUCCAUUUGUGCAUCUAAUUAUGCUUGUCGGCUUGCAUGACUUUCCUAGUAAAAUCACGCAAUAAUUUUCAGAGAAAUUUGUGAACAUCUUGUAGGGUAAACAUGAUGUUCAAGCAGCCUUGUUCACCACUACCCAAGAAGAAAUUGGAGAGUCAAGGCAGAAAAGGCAAGCAUAGUGGUCUAGUGACAAGGGCUGGAAAAUAGUAGCUCUUAAACUAGCUAAAUCAUCUCCAAAAACCAUGAGCUUAAGUAAUUCCAACGCGUGCAAUCCGGUGGGUUGGACUUGGUGCACGAGUCGCAGUUGUCGCACGACGGCCACAUGUUCGCCCCUAAAGGCAGCAUACAAGGUAAAUAAGUUGCUACACUAUCUCUCUAUGCCAGGAGGGACUGGGAAAUGGAUGAAAAAAAUAAAGAAGCAUAGGCAUUACCUUGGCUCUUGAGGGGCAGUGCUGUGAGAACGGCCAACGCGACAAGCAGCACCUGAGGCCUCAUGCUUGGUUGCAAGGAUGGGACUGGUUUGGAGAGAGAGGGAGCUUGUGCUUUGGGUUGGCUAUGUGAGUGUACGCGGCUGACGAAAAUGAGAGGAAAAGUAAGAAUAUGCAAAUAAUCAACUACCAGUCCUCGAAAAAAAGCGUAAAAAGCACUUGUUUGUUUCUCCUCUCCUAUAGAUGUCGAUGUCGAUGUCGACACUUGCAAAUGCUCAACAUUCUCGCCUGCAUUCCAAUUGACAAGUUUAAUUUGUGGUUGGUUUGCGUGGAUCUUGUCAUACCCGCAAUUGACAAGAUACAGGACGGUCUUUGUCGGGCGGCUCCAUGAGGCGGCGCAUGAGCGGAGCGUCGGAGGGGUGGCGCCGUGAUGGGGAAAAAGGGAAUGGAGGCUGAUUGUGUAGGCUGGGCCGAGACAAUCAGAACAUAUGCUAUGUGUUAACUGUCAGUACAAUGGUAACACACAUUCCACUUGGUCUAGUAGAUAUAUAGAAUUUUUUUCCGAUAAAGGGUAGAUAUAUAGAUACAAACUGGUAGCUAGUACAACUUCACUUCAGUAAGUCUUGAGAUACAGUUACUAAACUGACAUAUGUGGUAUUUCCGGACAAACAAUGAACAGAGGCUAGGGGGCAAAAAAAUCGAGGAAACGCAAACGAGUUUGUGUUUCAUUGCAUUGAACAGGAAGACGUCAAGGGUACAACCUCCAGGAAGGAGGGACACACGCGCGCACACACACGUCCUCACCAAGCGACUACAACUAGGUAAGGAGGUGCCCUCAACUACAGACACACAACGGCAUUAGGCCUCACCCAGUCUAGCCUCGAGCCGAAGAUGGCGACGCGUUGAGACUUGGAGCAACAAGGCAGCAUCACCACCAGUGCUAGACACCUCCAGGGGCGAUUGCAGCUUCAGGACUACCCAGGCCAACGUACCUCACACCAAUGUGCCUAGGGAGUCAGCGGAUGAAAGGCAGGACCGGACAGGAACUGGUGUAGCAAGAUAGUGUGGCUUGGAGAUGGGUGUACAUAGCCAGAUAGCUCACCUUGCUUGGCACUCGGCAGCCGUAGAAGACCGACCCCUUCUCCGGCAAGCCCAGGUAUGUCGGGUCAGGGUGCACGUACACCGAGAACAGUGCAGUGUGCCCAUGGAAGAACCUCUCCCACAACGGCGCCAGUGGCAGCUCACCACGCACGAGGAACAUGAACGCCACCUUAGGCGCGGGGAGCACCAGCGAGCUGAUCCUCGGAGCCAUGGACCGCCCGCAGCAGCAGCUCCUCGUCCGUCAUGUUGUGUAGCAUCACCAAACGCCCGCUUUCGUCGCCACCACCGCUGCCACCCAGUGCCAGCAGCCCCAGAGGUGCAGAAGUAGGUGCCGCUGAGUGGUCGGUGGAGGCAAGCCAGAUCACGGUACCAAUGGUGGAGAUUGAUUCCAGGAGGAAGGUGGACGCCAUACCGAGCAUGAAAGCUACGGAGAAGAGGAGAAACCGGGAGAGGAUGUCCCAUGGUUUCGCCAUGGCCGAUCUCAUCUGCGGCUUCCCCAUGGUUUCGAUCUCUAGCUGAUUGGUGAUGAACUACACGUAACGAGUUAAGUACAUUAGCAUGCAGCUUGGCUUGAGCUAGCUACAUAAUUAGCUAGGCAAGGGUUGACCCUUUCACUGCUUCUACUUUUUCACUUGCACGUCACUGACUUUGUGUUGAUCGAUGCAUGCAUAUACAUAUAUAUUGACGUGCUACUACAUAGGCUUGUCCAUGCGUAGGCUUUAAUCAACGGAGGGUACAUAGGGGGCGCUAAAUAUGGGGAAUGUAUGCUUAGCAGACAUUGGACGCCCUGAAAUCCAGCAACCAUUUUCAAACUGCUUCUUUGCUAUGGAUCGACGACUUACAAGUGGAGUAUAUAAAAAAUAUGAGCCAAAAUCGAAGCAACACCUAUCAAAAAGUGCACCCAGUGCCAACAGGGCAUUGCCCCUUGUUUGAAUGCACAUAUCAUACUCACCCGCCCAAGCAUCUCGUCCAUGGAUUUUUCUUUUAUUUAGUUUAGCGUGUUUUACAAGUAGCUCAAUCAGGCGAGCAUGACAAUGCGUACCACAUCACAUUUGUUGAUAAGCGUUUCUUGUGAGAAGACUUAACUGCAUAGAGCGAUCAGUCAUUAAUUAACAUUGCACUUCUUUUGGGUAUAGUACAUCAUGUACAGUGGAGAUGACAUUUUUUGUUGUGUGGCCCGUGCGCAAGUGCGUGUGUGAGAGUGCACGUGUUAGAGUGAGAGAAAGAGAGAGACGGGGAGUCGACAUAACCAACUCGCGCUGAAAUAUUACAUGUUUACAUGUGGAGAGAUGAAUAAUCUCUAAUGUUGCAGUUCUGUUGUUUUGUAAAAGACUUGGAUUAGGCCAUGCAACAAAAUUGCAUUGAUCGGUGCACCAGGCACGUAUAUAUAAUGUACAGGAAGGGGCCACAACCUCAACUAUACAGGAGAACUAGGAGGUGGACCCAAGACACAAUAUACACGCACACAAUAUAUUCACAUGUUUGAACAUUGAGUGGAUGUAUGCAUCAAAGUUUUAUGCAAUCUCUAUUAAGAAAAUAUACUAUUAGCAUAAACUUUGACUUUAUAUUCUCGUCCCUUCUGUAUGCAUUUGAGGAUAUCUCCAAGGAGUACACCUAACUAGUGACUACAAUAUUUUGCAUAAUACAAAUCCGUUGGUGGAUACAAAGACGGAGUGGUAACGUGUCUAGACCUAUGGCCUGUAAUGGCCCAUCCUAGAUUUGCAUGUAAUGGCACAAGCUAAGCCUGAUUGAACAAGUCAACCAGGUAUUACUUUUAUCUUAAGAGUCGGGAUAGUAUAUGUUCGUGCAGAUAUUUUGGAGCCAUGGGAACAAUCGGCAAACUGAACAAAGAUGGUGAUAAAAUCGAAGCCUAUCACGGGCCACUGUAUUUUAUAUGGUAAUAAAGCCUACCACAUAACAGCCCUAUAAUUAUGCUCCAGAACGAGAGGUCUAUGCACCAACCAAAUCCUGGAGUCUUGUUCUCAUCUUGUAGCCGCAGUAGUAACACAAUGAGCUCUGGCAAGACAUCCUGGCCCGAGCUGGUAGGCACGCAGACCAAUCCAGGGCUGGUGAUCAUCAACCACGACAGGUCCGACCUACAGAUCGUGCUGCUGCAGGUGGGCACCACCGUGAGUCCACCAGGGUAUCACGCUGAGCGUGUUGUUAUCUUCUUCGAUGAGCAAACUGGCCUCAUCGCAGCCGUUCCUGCAGUCGGUUAACUCGAUCAUAUGUCCACGGUGCCGGCAUGAGUCCUGGAGUUGUUUGUAGUGUGCCUUUUAUGUUCAUAGGCAUUCACAUAAUAUGUUAUGGCUUGCAGAAACAGUUAUCUAUAAAGAAUAGUGACUACAAGAGCGAGGCUUGUCAAAUAUAUAUACCUCUUUCUUCUUUGCUUAUUUAUAUGUUUCUUUUAUGAAUUAUACCAUCUUGUGUGUAAUAUAAUUUACAAAAGUGUUACCCUUUCACUUAUUAUUUUUUCAUGAUAAGAUUCCUUAUUUGAUCGAAGAUAAAAACGUGCUUCAUUUUGGGAGGCUGUAAUGUGCCCUCUCUUUCGCUCGCUUACUGUAUUGUACAUUCCUUCCUAUAUUCUUACGAAAUUUAAUAACAUACUUACCAACGGCAAAACCGUAUUUUCAAGUCUCAGAUAACAUGGUUAGUAGACAAAAUUGACGCAAGUGUCAUCUUAGUAGAAAAAAUUAGACAGGGUGCCAAACAGUUCUCCCAUGAACAAAUAACGAAUAAGAAAUCUCUUAUUGUGCAUCCUUAUGUUGUUCCUGUGUCACACCUAGCCAUAUAAACUGUAACAGCUGUCUCUUUUUGCUUUACAACGCAAGUAUGAACAUAUCCAAAAAAGCAUAUGACACAACAUACUAGUAUCACUAAAUCUGAUAUCAAAUAUGUUUUUUUUAAUAUUGAGGCAUAUGAAGUGCAUACUUGUACAUAGCUACUUACACCCCUAUAGGUAUUUUACUUCUGUACCAGUGUCGUGGUAAAUGGGUGAAAUUGAAAUCCCAUAUUUCGUAGAAAGAGAAACAAGAUCUCCGGCAGAAAUAACAACCCCUUAGAUUUCCUCCCCCGGGAUCUCCUUUUCCCAUGCCACCAAUUUUUUUUAUGUUAGACACCUUUAAUAUUAUCGGCUUUGUCUAUUAAGAAAAGGCCAACUAUUAAGUGAUGUAGAAUAUUGGAUAUGCUCGGGUUAACUUAUGAAGUGUUGAUCUCUGUGAAAUGAUGUUAGGUCAUUGUAAACUUACAGCUCUAAGGGAAAAACAUAUGUAGCCAAGUGUCUUAGCUUACGCCGACUGUUAUUUUUCAGGUACUCUGCUUAUAAACCUCUAUGCCUAGUACCCUGGAAAAAGCACACGACUAAAGUCAGACCCUCAGCAUAUCACUAACCAAGCCGACCACAACCAAAAAAUGCGCGCGUCUUACAUCAAGUACUCGGCUUAUCAAGGGGAAAGUACUAUGCUUAUAGACAAGCCUCGGCAUUGUGGCUUCCUCGUGGCCAUCCUCGAAGCCUUAAUGUCUCUGUGAAGAGCCUUUUUUUGGCCUUAGUGAAGUAUGUUGGGUACAAGCUCCAUCACCGUAAUGCUGGACUCUGCCGCUGACCCAAGCUCUCUCUGCGCCGCGUUCGGCUGCCCCUACGGCCACACCUCCGCCGCACCAGGAGAGCCGGCAAUGACUACAUGGGCAACCAUGGACCUCGCUAGUUCAGGGCUGCUCCGGUGAGCCGCAGCGGGAAUCCCUCCACCACGAGAAGUACCCCAUCGGCAACCAUGGACCUCGCCGUUGAACCUAACGUAAGAGCAUUGUGUCUUAUUCUGCUGCCGCUGCAUGUCCACCACUCCAUCUAGGCCGCAGCUGCCACCUGGAUCUCGGCACCUCCCGCUCCAUUCGACGGUUGAUGGUCCGGGUGCUCCCCCGCCGAGCCGCUGCGGAAACCCAUCCACCAUGGAAAUCUGCCGCGGGAGUCCUUUGCUGGGUGCGCUUGUGCUCUGAGUCUGUUGCUAUGUUCAUGUGUGCUCUCUAUGUGCGUCCUCUACUUUGAUUGCAGGUGCACGAAGUUGUUUGAUGUAUUCUUUCUGGUCCAAGAUACUCCCUCCGUUCAAAAAUACUUGUCAUCAAAAUGAAUAAAAAGAGAUGUAUCUAGUCGUCCAAAAAUACUUGUCAUCAAAAUGAAUAAAAGAGAUGUAUCGAGAACUAGAUACAUCUCCUUCUAUCCAUUUUGAUGACAAGUAUUUUCGGACAGAGGGAGUAUUAUAGAUGCUUCCUUCAGGCACAUGCUUCCCUGGAUGAUGGAUCAUUCAAAUACAUGGACAUGUCAUGGAUACUUCUGCUUGAAAUAUGUAAAUUGUAAACACCAUUUUUGCAUUCAACCUCAAUAUCAAGUCGGUGUUCCAAAUACCUAAACAUCCAAACAGAAAUAUUGGCAUUCAAUCCAAUGAAAUGCCAAGGCUCCCAAUGCGAACAUCCAAACGGAGCGUAAGGGUAUUGUACACCACGGACCGGAAAAGGGCAGAAUAGGACAGAAAAUUGGGUUGGUGCAGGCUUUCUAUUAUACUAUUAACUAAUAAAGAAAUGGGAAGAGCACUUACAUUCUUGAAUGGACAAAUUAAUAUUUGGCGCAAUGCGUUUCAGCUGUAUGGUGUACGGCUUAGAGCGUAUGUAGCUGGGUUUGCAUGUUAUGCAGUGUAACUUGGAGAAGGAAAACAAUCCAAAUUUGCCCAUUAGCUGAACAUGCCAACUUAUCGUCAAAGACAAAAGCCAAAUGCCAAUUAGGCCUGAAUGUGCCUUAACCAUCUUUUUAUUUAAAAAGUGAUCUAUUUUUCGGUAUAAGUGUCUCCUGAAUAAUAUAGUAAUUCAUGCCUCGACUAAACAGCCCGGCUGAUUUGUGAACAAACGAUCUAUCCAGAAGUGCAGUGAUAACAUCGAGGCAUCACCCAGUCAUGCCGGCCGGCUUUGUAUGCAUGCUAAUUAAGAUUUUUUUUUUGCGGGAAUGCUAAAUUAAGCUUGACACCUAGUCUAUAAAUCCUUGCGAUAUCAGAGACCUUUGCAGACACACCACACCCACGAGGGCCCUAGCACAUAUAUCUGAAGUAGUAAUAAGUAGUAACACACAUAUGAGCUCUCCGAAGACAUCCUGGCCGGAGUUGGUGGGCGAGCCGGCGACACCGGCAGUGAUGACGAUUAACAGCCAAAGGCCCGACUUGACGACGGAGGUGCUCCCGAUUGGGACGAGCCCAAGCCCGCCGGGAUUCGACUCAACGCGUGUCUGCGUCUUCCUCGACCCACGAGACAAGCUUGGCCGUGUUGCAGCUGUUCCAGUCGUUGGCUAGCUUAGAGUUUCUUUUAAGGACGCUACGUAGCAGAGUUGAACUAUAUACCACUAGUAGAAUGCCCGUGCGUUGACACGGGCUUUUAAACUUUUUUAUAAUUGUUGUAUAAAAUUCGGUGAUUUUUUUACUACUUCCAACAAAAUUGACGCAGGCCUUUGUCGAAGGAUUCUUUUUGAACAACAACGUAAUUUAUCUCCAUCUCUCAUAUACCCCGUGAAAAAAUGUAUUAUCAUGUGCAACAUAUAUACAAGGAAGAAUAAUCAUUUGUAUGCAUCUCAUUGUGUAAAAUUGGAUGACUUUUGAGUCCAGUCGCUCAUAGUUACAUCCGUGACUUUGUCAAUCGACAUUUUCAAAGCAUCAUCCGAAGCCAUCAAUUUUUAUUAUCUCUGACCUACAAAAGUUAAAAAAUAAAAAUAUAUUAAAAAAAAGACAAAGCAGCAUGUGCAUUGUCGUCACAUAGAAUGUAUGUCAUCUCACCGCACCAUUGCUUGCAUCUUUUCUAAACUUCCCCACAUACUCCGAGAGAUGAUGGCGUAUUGUACAUCUGACUGAAAAAAUGAUAUGAUUAUCACUACCUUGAGAGAUGAUGGCGUAUCGAAUUAGUUAACUGUCCGUGCAUUGGAAGGGGUCAUACAUUUCAAUGGUUUAACACGAAUUGUAUCAAUUGUAUAUCAGUGGUGCAUCUGACUUGCAACACAUUUUUAAUUCAAAGAUUUCUGAGUGGAAAAAGGAUAUGUAAUAGGUCCUUGUUAUAUACAUAACCAUAAGGUCAUAGGAACCCCAUCCUAAUCUAACUUAAGCAAAACUGCAGAAGAGCUCACAAGUGGACCUGAAGCUAUGAUAGGAACAAAAUUGGAAUGGUGUUCCUCUUGAACAUCCUAUGAGGAACUAACAAUAUUAAGCAAAACACGAAACGGUAGUUCAGUGCUCGGAAAAACAAAUUACCAUUGCCUGAUCAACUUCGACUUGAGUAUCUACCAGGGUUUACAUUUUAAUACAUCCUUUCUUAAAUGUCAGUCUUUGCAUAAAAUCCUCACGUUUUCAAAACAUUAUCAUGCAAAAAUCACAUUCUUUAUGAGAAACACACCUCAUAAUAGAAACUCUGUAUCAUAAUAGAAAUUGUAGGUUUCCUUGAUGGGAAACAUACUAAUGGUCAGAUACGCAUCAUCAUCCCAGUUUAAGCCUCUACCGCUACCCAUCACUACUAUCUUGUGCAACCUCUCGUCUUUCUUAUUUCACUCGCUUUUCUGGAGUUUGUCUUCACCAGCGGUAGCAAUAAAAGCAAGUCCAGCUCAAUGCUGUCAGCAACCUAAAAAAAGUUUCAUCUCUGAUGGCAUUUCCAGAUGGCUUGGCAAGUUCUCAUGCGCUUUCUAAUCCUUGUAUAUAUAAAAGAACCAACUUUCUAAGACAAGAAUCAGGCUACUCAUGUAUGUACCUUUUAGUCUCUUCCUCAAAUUUUCUUCUAGAUGGUGCAAAUGGAGAUUCCAAAUAAGAAGGCAUGGUAGAACAUAGUUCCACAUUUAUUCGUGAAAAGAAACAUAAAUUUAGAACAAGUGGAGUACCUUUCGAUUCCUCGUGUACAUCAACGGAUGUCGUCUUUUUUACCGUUAAAUUACUCUUUUCCUUCUCUCCCUCCACCCAAUACCUUUGCCUCUCCGCCUCCCUAACGCAAGUUCACCACAUUUUUCAAUGGUGCUUCUUGCUCGCAAUCACACCUUCCAUCUCCAUCUAGACUUUAACCAUGCAUUGAUUUACAUCUCACACAGUUUAACUUCUCCCUCUCUCACUGCAAUGCAACAUUCUCUCUCAAUGGUGCUUCUAGCUUGCAAUCACACCUUCCAUCUCCAUCUAGACUUUAAUCAUGCAUUGAUUUACAUCUCACACAGUUUAGCUUCUCCCUCUCUCAGGCUCUCUCACUGCAAUGCAACAUUCUCUCUCUCCCUCCCUCGUUACCCUCUUCCAAAUAAACUGCGGCAUUUAAGAAGUAAACAUUAUGUGUGAGAUGUAAAUAGUUGUGCCAGAAGGACAAUAAAGUUUAAUACGGAUGUAUUGGUCAAAAGUAACACCCAAAUUAAAAAAAUCACUUCUUAGUAUACAUAACCUUGCUAUUAAGAUUUUUUUUACUUUAUUGUGCAACACACUGUAUUUUUGGAGCAUGUGUUAUUUUUACCCUCAACCUGAACAUGUGCUAAUACAGUACAUACAUUUCUAGUUUUCUAUAUAACUGAGUUAUUUGUAUGUCCAAAUAUGAUCUUAGAAUUAGUAUGGUCCCAGUUUAGCUCUUACUAUACCUAAAACAAGCAAGCAUUCAGCCAUUACACCACGGUAGUGUGCGCAACCAAGGUGUGGCUAAUUUGUUUGUUCAAAAGUUUAGGCAUAUCAUUUCAUCAAUCAAAGAAUAUUAUCAUGUAAAUCACCAAUGAUCAUGUCAUUGUGCAAUAAAACAGGGGGGGUGGUCAUAGGAAGUCAUUUACUAAUGAGAUGACAGUACCGACGGCUUGAUUUCUUUGGGAUAGCAUGCAACAUCUCCAAUGGAAAACAAUAAUACUACUAAACAUGAAAGAAUAGGAGGGAUCCCAUCCUUUGGUCUAAUUUUUACGCUCACCCUGACCAUAUGCUACUACAUCCAUUUUUAAUUUUCUAUAUAACCGAGAGGUAUUUGUACGCCAAAAUCUGACCUGACAAUUAGUAUGGUUCAGUUGUAGCUCUUACCUAAAAACCUAAAUUAGCCAAUCAUUCAGGCAUGACACGCCGCGAACAAAAAAAUCUUGCCCCGGCUCGAUGGCUGGCGUUACAAGAGUGAUAGCUCGAUGGACGGCACAAGAAAGGAAGGGGAGCAGCGAAGGAAACUGGGAGGAUAACUGAACUAGUGGCGGAGAAGAUGACAGAGACUCAGAGAAGCAGAUACAAUGAAGCGGUGUGGCCGAGCAGGGUUGAGAUCAUACCUUUGUAUCACCAAAGUAAGGAGUCGGCAACACAUACAACCUGAACUGUUUUCUAGGGAGAAGAAAAAAGGAACAAAAAAUAUGCUUUUUGCACUAACUACUAACCAGUACAACUCUCCAUAGAAAAAUACAUAACAGGCAGGUCAUGUAGUGGUGAAAAUAUAGGGCAAUGUACCUGCAUAAGUUGCUGGGUAGUGUAGUAGUUUGUUCUCUCCUUCAACAAUUCUCGAGCGGCUCGACGAUGACUCCAUUUUCUUCAACAGCAGCGACGGAGGCCUAGCAUUGCAAGACUUCUGUGGUAAAAUAAACAUAUAUAUAUACUAUACAGAAAAUAUUAUGAUGAAGGAACAAAAUCUUAAUAUGUCAUUUAAUUUGAUAGAAAGCCUUGAGAAAAUCAGUAGAGUAGAGUCUGAAAAGGUUUGCUAGAAGUAAUCUUGCAUGCACUUUAGUUUUCCUUCUCAAAUCAAGAAAUUCUUAUGCAGUUCUAAACUUUGUUCAUUCGCUGCAUGCAUCGGUGAUAUGUUGAGACCAGAACAAAUAUAUACCAGUUAAUACUAUUACACACAUUACAUGAGUUAUGUUACACAACAUGUGUUUUCGUCUGAAAUUAAGCAAAAAAUUGAAACGUCUCAACUGGAAUAGUUUCUGAAUCAUUAGAUGUGUUGUCAGGCGGUGCUCCUGCCGGCCUUCAUGAUGGGGUGGGUGAACCGGAGUUGCACUUACACCAUCCAAAUACACCUCUCCAGCAUAUUAAAGCAUGCAAUAUCUAGACCCAUAUGUUCAAAAUCUAUGUUCUAAACAAAACCUAGCCUGAAGCCAUUAACAUUAAGAAUAGUCCUGGGUACUCCUGUGUACCACUUGCACAUAAAGCAAGGGAGUCACUAAGAAGAAAAACAAUGAUUUCAUUCAACUGAGUAGAUGCAGGUGAAGAAGAAUUAAGAACUCAUACUUUUUCCAUGAGGUGUAAGGGGAAUAAUAAUAGAUUCGCUUAGGAGAAACAAAUGUCGUUCAAGGGAGUAUAUGAGAUAUGUGAUUGGGUGGAAUAGUUGGGAGCUCAUAUUUGUUUUUGAAGGCAUGUAGGAAAUAGUAAACGCACUGGUCCAAACUCCAGAAGUAAAGUGGGUGGCGCCAUGCAUGGUACAUAUAAUGAUGCCACUAAUUAAAAGGGGCAUCACCAAAAAAUGAAGAAUGGAAUCAGAUAACAAUAAUUCCUACUAAAAUUAUCGGCAAGCUUGCAUGAAAGAGGACAGAGUCUUGUAAGACCUUGUAGCUGUGCUAUUCUGUUUUGAUGAAGUUUCAUUCAAUCAUAACAUUCAGAAACAACAAUUAUACGCUGGUAGAAAAUGAAAACGAAGCAUUAGGGACAACUAAUCCUGGACCAGAGAUAAGUGGACACACACCCGCACACGCACACGCACGCGCGCGCGCACACACACACGCACAAGAUAGACUAAUUUAAAUUCCUGCUCCGGUACUUACAUGAGAAGUAUUUUGGUCCCCCAUUCUACAUUCUCAACUUAGUGCUUCACUAAAAAAAUUAGGAACUUGAAGCGAUCCUUGUAUAUAUAAACACAAUCUAUGAUAUUCUUACAUACAACUUUAUUUUGCUUCACAAUAAAAUUUUAAAGCAGAUAAAAGAAACAUGUACAAGCACUGCCAUAUGGGAUAACUGAUGGUCAUAUUUUUCCUGAAAGGCGCCUGAUGGUUAUAUGAAACAUCUAAAACUUUAGGAACCAGAUAUGAUCUAAGGAAGUGACACACACUGCAUGUACCUAAUAACAAAAGCCAUAGGAAAGAUAACCUUUAUUGAUUGAAAUAUUGCCAGAUCCACUCCUUUCUUUGAAUAGAAAGUUAGCAACAAGCACUGGCGCCAGCACAUCCCCUUUGUCAUAGAUCAAUAGACAGCAAAAAUGGAGCAACAUUAACGUGGGCUAACUCCUAUGACAGUUUGCAUAUUAAGAAACUAAGAUUACAUAUGGCUAGAUAAUGAAAUUCCUUUGCACCAUCGUGUUCUUACUUUGAAAUGUGGUAGCAACAAUUAGAAAGAUUCUAAUACGUUAGUUUUGGCACAACGGAAAAUCCAGUGCAUGUACCUGUAAUCAACACCGGCUACGAUGGUCAGUUCAUCUUCAUUGAGUACUGAUCAAGCGGCACCAUGUUGAGAAAAAUCAACAAAUUUCUGUCCUUAUCUGCUGCAAUUUUUUAGCUAGUAAACAAAGCACCUGAACAGAUUUCUGCAUUCCAAAAAUUAAAAUUAACAGAUCUCAGCAAUCUUGUUGAGCAAGAAAGAGGCCUUGUCCACCUGCUCCGCCUCUGAGCCGUUGACAAGAACAACCUCCCUCUUGAAUUAAUUGCUGAUCUCCUCCACCCCUCGCAUAUGCCACUCCACCACCUUCGUCGCCACCCCCUUCUUAUUCACCUGCUUCAUCUCAAUCGAUGGUGACGGGCCCAUGGGGCAACGUCCAGGUCCAGGUCCAGUUGCACCGCCCUAUCGCUGCCCCGGCUACUGCUGGUUGGCAUGUCGAUGUAGAUACA
rnacentral:lncRNA from 1 species